UGACUCACAUUUCACUGCUGGUUAUAUAUGCUCUAUAUAACUGUGUAUGUGAUGAAUAAAAAAAUCUUGUAUAUUGCACCCAGGAUGCGAUCGUCUCAGAUGUCCUUCACUCCGGCACCAGGAAACCAUAGACCCUGGGUGCAUCCACAGCGGAGUACACGAGCCAGGCCCCGGGUGACGACUUCUCCCCCUCCGGUCUUCGAGAUCUCCACCCGGAACCACUUUGCUCCCCUCCACGAGAUGGGACGCGACACUGUGAUCAUCGGACACUCCUUCGUCCGACAUUUCCACGCUAUGAUAGCCAAAGGUAAGGUGCACACUCACUGUUUCCCUGGUGCUUGUGUUCUCUAUGUUUCUGCGCAGAUACCCGGGAUCCUGAAGGCCGACGAGAGCCCCAGAGAGGUCGUGCUUCACGCCGGGGUUAACGACAUUACGCUGCGGCAGACAGAGACACUGAAGAGGGACUUCAGAAGCCCGAUCAAGACCUUCGACCUUCUGCUACGAUCAUUGUGUCAGGACCACUGCCCACGUAUCGACGAGGACACGAAAGAAUCUUUUCUGGGAGUGUCCUAGGCUUUUUCGCACUGAUAGCUUGCACCCCAGCAGAGUCGGAGCGGAGCUGCUCUCUGACAACAUCUCCAGGACACUUCACUCCAUGUGACUAACAGAAACAGCCUCACAACUGCAGACCACGUGUAACCACACCUGCCCAGGACCUCCACAUCCAGCCCAGGACCUUCACCUCCAAGAUUGUCUGACCCCAGACACCUGGACAGCUGCUGCAACACUCGGCUUGCAUAAAUAAAUAAUUUCUGCACAAACUGUCAGAAACCGUUUUGGCGGUGGGCUUAUGGUAAAGGCAGGCAUAUGUUAUGGACAGCGAACACAGGUCCAUUUUAUUGAUGGCAUUUUGAAUGCACAGAGAUACUGUGAUUUAGAUCCUGAAGCCCAUUGUUGUGCCAUUCAUCUACGACCAACGCCUCAUGUUGCAGCAUGAUAAUGCACAGACUCAUGUUGCAAGGGUUGGAUUUGGAAUUCCUGGAAGCUGAAAACAUCCCAGUUCUUGCAUGGCCAGCAUACUCACUGGACAUGUCACCCAUUGAGCACUUUUGGGAUGCUCUGGAUCUGCAUAUACGACAGCGUGUUCCAGUUCCACUUCCACUUGAUGGAUUAUCUCGGCAAAGGAGAAGUGCUUACUAACACAGAUUUAGACAGAUUUGUGAAAAAUAUUUGAGAGAAAUGGGCCUUUUGUGUACAUAGAAAAAGUCUUAGAUCUUUGAGUUCAGCCAAUGAAAAAUGGGGGCAAAAACAAAAGUGUUGCGUUUAUACAUUUUUUCAGUGUAUUAUAGAUGGAAGCCAUGUUAUAGUAUUUUUUUUUAAAUCACACACCCACACACAUCAUCAUCAUUACCAUCAUCAUCAUGAUGGUAAAAUUUUCAUGCCACUUGUGUCUGUGUAUUGAAAGCAAUGGAGUAGGACCCUGAUUGUCAAAAAGAAGAAGAAUGCUAAAGGGUUUGAGUUAAAAAGUGAGGUAAUUAAAAAGUGACACCAAAGGGUCUUGACCAAGCAUCAAUGUCAGUGAGAAUGGGUUGCUUCCAUUGUGUGCUGUUCCUUUGGAACUGGAAUAUUAUACAAACUUAAGUGUCAGGAACGCACAGCCACCACAAUCAUCACCUGCACCUGAGCCUAAUCACACCCAUCCCAAUCGCUGGAGUACUGAUCACAUGCACCUUCACCUGCACUCAGCAGUCACUCACGAGGAUAAAGCCACCAUCACGCCAGUACUUUGGCGUACGGUCUUCUGAUCACUACACCAAACUGGUGCCCGACCAUUCCUUGUGUUACUCUCCAGAGCUCUGGGAUUGAUCGUUACAAUGACUCAGCAAUAGCUUGUCAUAUAUCCACUUGUAAAUAAAAUGUUCACUUGUCCACUAAACCCCUCUGCCUUCAUCCUGGUUUGUGAAAGAAGAUCGGACCAUACAAGAACAACUAUAUGGAUCCCCAGUCACGCACUCCUGCAGCUGGGCAACCUCCUCCAGGCAGCACUCACAGCUACAUCCACUCCCCAAUCUGCCAUAGUAUACAUCGGGGAUAUCCUAAUAUAUUCCCGGAACCUGGCUGAACAUUGCCAUCACGUGACACAGGUCCUACAGAUGCUAAGACAAAACCAUAUCUUUCUGAAGCUGGAUAAUUGUGAGUUCCACAGCUCCACGGUUCAGUUCCUCGGCUAUAACAUCAGCCAAGAAGGUAUCCAGACGGACCAGGGGAAGGUAUCCGGCAUCAAGGAGUGGCCAGUUCCACAGUCCGUGAAGGAACUCCAUAGGUUCUUAGGAUCUGAUUACUUCUAUCGACAAUUUAUUCAAGAUUUCAGUAUACACACUGCUCCAUUGAUCUCUCUCCUUCGAGGUAAGCCCAAGUCCCUGUCCUGGACUUCCACCCCCCCACGAAGCCUUCCAAGCCCUGAAUGAAACCCUUUAGCAUGGCUCCCAUCCCUCGCCACCCAAAUCCUGAAUCUCCAUUUGUGGUUGAAGUGGACGCACUUCUGUCUAUCCCAGCAGUUCAGUGAGCCUCCACGACUCCAGCCUUACAUUUUCUUUUCCAGGAAACUGACCCCAGCGGCUCAGAAUUACGACAUCGGGAACAGGGAGCUGUUAAUGAUCAGGUCGCUCUGGAAGAAUGGAAACAUUGGCUGGAGGGAGAUAACCACCCCUUUACUGUUAUCACAGAUUAUAAAAUUCUCCAAUAUCUCUGUGAAGCCUGUUGGGCUUUGCUCUACAUAAGAUUCAACUUCACCAUCAUUUACCACCCUGGAAACCGCAACUGCAAAGCUGUUGAUGUUCUUUCUCGUCUGCACUCAUUGGACACUCCUUCGGACCCUAAAACUAUACUCCCUCCAGCCAUGAACAUCAGCCCCAUCAUCUGGAGUUAGGACGAGGACAUCCGAGCUGCUACAAGAGAUGAACCUUCUCCUCUGGGAGGCCCAGAAGGGAGGAUUUAUGUUCCCUGGUCCCUGCGGUAAUCCCUUCUGGGCUCAGUUCACAGUAUACUGGGCUCUGGACAUCUAGACAGUAAUAGGAUCCUCUCGCUCCGUACUGGUGGCCCAGUAUGUCCCGGGAUGUCACCAGGUACGUCCGCAGUUGCUCAGUCUGCACCAUGUCUUCCACUCUACAUUAGCUCCCGGCAGGCAAGCUCAUACCCUUACCUGUUCCUCAGAGGCCCUGGUCCCAUCUAGGGUUUAAAUUUGUGACUGACCUGUCACGAAGUUAAGUAUCAUCCCCAGACUAAUGGCCAGACUGAGCGGAACUUGGACUGUACCUGCGGGCAUACUGCCAAGGAGACCAGCACAGCUGGAACCGUUUCCUUCCCUGGGCCCAGUAUGCACAGAAAUCCCUUUGACAAGGUACCACCAGCCUCACCCCUUUCCAGUGCAUGCUCGGCUACCAAAACUCUGUGUUUCCUUGGACAGGUGAACCUUCAGACAUUCCAACUGUGGAAUUACAUUACAUUCAGCUGACGCUUUUAUCCAAAGCAACUUACAAUUGCUAUAUAUGUCUGAGGUCGCACACCUCUGGAGCAACUAGGGGUUAAGAGUCUUGCUCAGGGACACAUUGGUGUCUCAUAGUGGAUUCGAACCUGGAUCUCUCACACCAAAGGCAUGUGUCUUAUCCACUGCGCCAACACCACCCCUAUAAAGCUGGUUUAAAGCUGGAAUACUGGUUCCCAGUGAGAGAGUGUGGGACUCAGCUCAAAUCCACCUCCAGAGUGCCAUAUGGAGACACAAGGCCUUUGCGAAUGCUUGACAUGCCGCCACUCCAUCUCCAAGGGAUCUGCGUCUCCAUCAGCAAUACAGGAAGCUGAGUCCCCACUACAUUGGCCCAUUCACGGUCGAGAGGCAGAUCAACAAGGUCACCUACAGGAUCCACUUACCCCCCAGGUACCGCAUUCACCCCUCGUUCCACAUCUCACUAACCUGUCUCUUCUAUGUUCUCAGAUACCCCAGUGACGAUCUCCUGUGAUUCUCAUACGCUGACCUUCCUUGUGUUACUCUCCAGAGCUCUGGGAUUGAUCCUUACAAUGACUCAACAUUACCUUGUCACAUAUCCACUUGUAAAUAAGCUGUUCACUUGCACUAAAACCUCUGCCUUCGUCCCGGUUUGUGACAGUAUGCUUUUCUGAAGAUCUGGAUUUUUAUUUAUUUAUAUAAAACAAGUUAAUUCAGUGGAAUAUUAAAAGUGAUAAUGUCAAAAUGUAAUAUUUUGCAGUUAGAGGUGCUGUUUGUAGGAUUGACACCAGUUAUGAGGAGUACAAAACGUUCUACAAAAUUAAACUUUUGGGCGUUGAAUACUUUUGCAAAUGAAUCUUGAGCCAAUUUUAUUUUUUUCCCCAUUUAUUUCCAAUAAUUAAUGGGGAGUAGACAAUUUUUGUAAAUCCUUGAGUUUGACCUGAUUUUUUUAAGUAACAUUCCUUACAGUAUGUAAGAUUUGAAUGUGUUAACAAGGCAAUGUGCCAUUUUACAAAUGUUUCAAAGUUCAAAACAAUUAAAUCAGUUCUUAAAGCCUU